UCAGCAAGGUGUAGGUGAAACUCGUGCAGGUGUCAGAUUUCAUGUGGAACGUCAGCCAAUGAGACAUUCACAUCGCAGCCCUGUCAAACGCGCACAGGAGUUAAGACAGCCAGGAAGUUCCCAUUCCGCCAGGAAGGUUGACAUAGGAGCUCAUAUGAGAAUAGAGACAGUCAUCAGCGCAUGUGAACGACACAUCCAGCAGUGGACUAAAAUUUGAAUAAGAAGAUGCUGCGUUUACUCUUUCUGUUUUUGAUUCUUCGAGGUGCAGUUGACGAUGAAGACGGUGAUGCUCCAGUGGAGACAAGACGUAUUCAAUAUUCAGAUCCUGGAGAAAUUCCUAAAGUAGGUCCCGGAUCAGAUAGAUCCACAGGAGAUGAUGAAGCUAAUGAAGGUGGAACAUUGAUAAUCAUCAUAGCUGCCGUUAGCGUCAUAGUUCUGGCCAUUGGAGGCAUUGUAGCUAUUUUCCUCUUCAGACGCUACUUGCAAAGCCGAGAACAAGGGGUCUACUCUGUGCCAGCAGAGCAAGGACAGAAAGCUGCUGUCUAACCAUGAGGGCCUUUUCAUUUCCUCUCUCCACUGGAUCCUUUCAGGGAUGAGCUGCAAGCAUGUGAUUUCUCAUCCGAACAUGUCUCUAUCUACAGUAUAGCGGAUCCUAUAACGUCAGUAGACGAGAAUGUGUUGCUAUCAUAAAUUUUCUAUGAACUGUUUUUAAAAGCACAAUGUAUACCGUUCAUGCACACAUGCCAUAUGUUGCACUCACAGAGAAAGUCCUUGGACUGUGGAGUACAGCUCAUUUGGGACUUUUUCCUCUCCACCUGCAAUUAUUUUGUAUUUAAAAUCAAGUUCAAACCAUUUUUGAAACUGUGCUUAAAGGUGUGUAAUAUUUUCCAUCUUUAGAUACUUUCUCCUUAAAAGUAAACUAUUCAUAGUUUUUCCCCCACAUUUCCAAAUAUAAACAAACACUGUGGCUUUGGUUUAUUUGAGCAAACAGAUGCAACAACAUUGGUUUAGCCAAUGGCAUGAGUUUGAGGCAGGACUACCUAAUUAACUAGCCAAUGGCAGACAGUGCCACAGAAAUCAUGAACUGAAUUUGAAGCAAACAUCCUCCCUAUUUCCCCUUACAGUCCUCUAAUGUUAGCCAUCCCCUAUAGUGCAUUUAAAGUGACAAAAUCAGGGCGGAUAAAAGAUAAAACUAGUCUCUGGCUCUCUGAUUAUUUGACAAAAGAAAGAAAGAAGCAGAGAGAGAAAAGUGAGUGGAAAAGUGGUUUUGAACACUCACUUGUCAAAUGGUGAAUUAAUCAACCGCUUUAAAUAACGAUGUUGUUUUCUUUUUCCUUUCUUUCACCGUGGCCAGCUCCUCUAAAGCAAAGCAGAUUGUAAAUAGCUCUGGGAUGCUGGGUAACAAACUUAUGUUUCAUAUACAGUAUAUACUCCUGGCUUUAAUAGGGAGACAAUCUGAUAGGCGGAAGAAAUAAGGAUACAGACACACAACACAUACAGUGAGGUCCAAAAGUACACUAUGCAUUGUAAAAACUGAUUUUGAAAUUCUGAAAUAAAAAUGAUUUGAGAUUCAAUAAGGCUUUUCACAUUUGAAAUAGUUAACCUUGGGUCAUUCUAAACCCCAGGUAAAAGCAAUCCUUCUUCACUCAAUUCAUGUGUUUUCAGUUACCAUUAAACAUUUCUCCAUUCAAUGAAACGACUAUUCAUGCACAGUGUUUCCAUGACGGUCCAAAGCAAGUCAAUAUGAGGCACCCGAUUGGGUGUCUUGCUAAGCAUUUAGCAUUAAUAUUCUGGCACCGCAGUGCGAGAUUAACACCACAAAAGCGGUGUGAACCUACAUUUUAUAACAUUUAUAACAACAAUAAUUCCCGUGGUUAAGUGCAGUGUGAAAAGCCCUACAAUAUGUUACUUGUCGUUUCUUUUUAAUUAGGCUAUUUGUGAUAUUUACUACCAAUUUCUUAGACGUAAAUUCUACACCAUUUUUUCAGUGCAGUAAAAAAAUGCAGCAUUUUUCUAAUUUAACAACAUUAGAAACACAUUAGAAGGCACAAAUUGCAUUAUCAGUAUAACAAUACAAGUGGCAAUUUGAAGUGGAGUGUCACAAAUGUACUUACUUGAUUAGUGACCUAGAAAAAGUGCUUGGUCUUGGUAUCUUUUUUUUCCCCAACAUUUUUUAAAAGCAUAUUUUCAAAUUUUGAAUCCCAGAUCUUUAGUGUGGACUUUUGGACUCCAGUGUAUCCACAGCAUCAUCGAUUGAAACUAAGACACUAUAGCGAGCUGCUUACUUUUAUCCUCCUCUUUCUCAUCUUUUUUCUUCCAUUUUUUAGAUUAAAAUGGAAAUCAAUCAACCCCUUUUAGCCUGAGUCUUAAGACUCAGAGCGUCUCGGCUCUUUACUCUGAAUUUACACAAAGACGGCAGGCUAGCAAACACUUUUAACACUGCUGAGACAGUUUUUUCUGUUCUUUCUUACUAUCUUGUUAAAGGGGCAGUUCACACAAAAAUGAACAUUUUGUAAUCAUUUACUCACCCCCAUGUUAUUCUAGAUCUAUAUGACUUACUUUCUUGUGUCUAACACAAAAGAUGAUAUUAGGAAGAACGUUUGGGGUCCAAAAAACAUUGACAUAGACAUAGGUGUGUAUAAAGUGUGUAAUAUUAAUCAAGAUUUGCAAUAUAGCUAUUCUGGUAAAUAAUUUGCUAAAAGUGUAUUUAGACAAUAACAUUUCAGAUAACUACAAUCGGAAAAAACAGAAAAAAAAAAAAGUAAAAAAAAAAAAAAACAGCUCCUUUGAGUCAUUCUGAAAGCCAGUUUCACAUCAUUUUGACAUUUUCCUCCCUCUUUUGAAUAGAGGUUUUUAUAAACCGUUGAGUUUUAUUAAAUCCAACAACUUUCUCUUGGGCUUUUUGGGCAGGUUGCUUUAUGCAAUGUGAAGGGACUUUAUACUGUAAAAAUCAGCGAUGUAAUGUAACAUUUGGUUCACACAGAUUCACAUUUCAGUUCUGUUACCAGUUUCUCUUAGUGGCUGAAUUAAGAACAGAGUGGAAAAUGCAGAUGCAGAUUUUCCCUCUGAAGGUUGCGCUCAACAGUCUUUGAAGAGAAAACCAUAAGAAAUUGACAUCAGUGCUUAUUUUCUUUUAUGCUAUGCAAUGUUCUGUCAGCAAAAAUGUAUACUUAAAAUAGUUUUAUGAAAAGUUUAUGAGGAUAUCCAUUUAUAUUUUUCUUUUUUAAAUGUUAUCAGUAGUGUUUUUCUUUGAACUCUUUUGUAGCACCGCUUGGUUACAGUGUCACUGGAUAAAUCAUGCAUUAGUCGAUACUGUACUGCUUUAUUUUAAUAUGCCAUACAUUCAUCUUUCUGACUACAUUUGACCAACAGUUUGAUAAUGUACUAAAAUACACUUCCAGUGCACAAGAAUAGAGUCUGGAGCAUUGGCAGUGUAUAGCCUUGAUUCCUUAUGAUAACCGUCGCCGUAA
rnacentral:lncRNA from 12 species